CCCUUAUCAUCACCACGAAGAAGAAAACACAAAUAAAUAAAUAAAUAAGAAAUGGCAGGAAUCAUUCACAAUAUGGAGCAGAAAUUGGGAGUGGGAGGAGGAGUCGACCACAAGAAAGAGGGAAAAAAGCACCACAAAGUCGAGGAGAAGAAGCAGGUCAAGAAGCACGGUGAAGGCGGCGGCGUGAUGGACAAUAUCAAGGGCAAGAUCUACGGCGGCGGCGGCAUGAAGAAGCACGAGGAGGUCAAGAAGCACGGUGAAGGCCGCGGCGUGAUGGACAAUAUCAAGGGCAAGAUCCUCGGCGGUGCAGCGUGAUGGAUAAUAUCAAGGGCAAGAUCCCCGAUUAGACGAUCCAUCGGUUGAUCUGUUGCCGUAAGUUGAUCCAUCUGUUGCCGUUGUGGAGAUGUGUGGAUGCUGGGGUGCUUAAUUAUAUGGUGUUAAUUUUCUUAGUGUCGCUUUUGUCAUGUAAUGAUGAUACUCGAUGAAUAAGAAGUUACUACUUUUGUAUGUUUUGGGAUCCGAUCGACUUUACCUGGCACCAACUCAAUUUCUGGUAACA